rnacentral:rRNA from 1 species
UACGUAGGGUGCGAGCGUUGUCCGGAAUUACUGGGCGUAAAGAGCUCGUAGGUGGUUUGUCACGUCGUCUGUGAAAUUCCGGGGCUUAACCUCGGGCGUGCAGGCGAUACGGGCAAUACUUGAGUGCUGUAGGGGAGACUGGAAUUCCCGGUGUAGCGGUGAAAUGCGCAGAUAUCAGGAGGAACACCAAUGGCGAAGGCAGGUCUCUGGGCAGUUACUGACGCUGAGGUACGAAAGCGUGGGUAGCAAACAGGAUUAGAUACCCUGGUA